rnacentral:misc_RNA from 1 species
CGGACGACUACUAUCUGCUGUCUGGAAAUUUCGCUUCGUAGCUCGGGAUGUCCAUGAAAGUUGCACCGAUCAUUUUCCCAGCAAACCAUCUUCCAUUAAGAGCACGUUGGGCUUCCAUUGCAGACUCUGGUUUUUCAAAUCUCAAAUAUACAAAACCGGCGCUAUUCUUGUCAACAUAUAUAUGUUUCAAUUUCCCGAACCUAGAGCAUUCCUCUUCAACG